rnacentral:rRNA from 1 species
GAGGAGCUUGCUCCUCUGAUCAGUGGCGAACGGGUGAGUAACACGUGAGCAACCUGCCCCAGACUCUGGGAUAACAGUUGGAAACAGCUGCUAAUACCGGAUACGAGACGGAGAGGCAUCUCUACCGUCUGGAAAGUUUUUCGGUCUGGGAUGGACUCGCGGCCUAUCAGCUAGUUGGUGAGGUAAUGGCUCACCAAGGCGACGACGGGUAGCCGGCCUGAGAGGGCGACCGGCCACACUGGGACUGAGACACGGCCCAGACUCCUACGGGAGGCAGCAGUGGGGAAUAUUGCACAAUGGGCGAAAGCCUGAUGCAGCGACGCCGCGUGAGGGAUGACGGCCUUCGGGUUGUAAACCUCUUUCAGCAGGGAAGAAGCGAAAGUGACGGUACCUGCAGAAGAAGCACCGGCUAACUACGUGCCAGCAGCCGCGGUAAUACGUAGGGUGCGAGCGUUGUCCGGAAUUAUUGGGCGUAAAGAGCUUGUAGGCGGUUUGUCGCGUCUGCAGUGAAAAUCCGAGGCUCAACCUCGGACUUGCUGUGGGUACGGGCAGACUAGAGUAUGGUAGGGGAGACCGGAAUUCCUGGUGUAGCGGUGGAAUGCGCAGAUAUCAGGAGGAACACCGAUGGCGAAGGCAGGUCUCUGGGCCAUAACUGACGCUGAGAAGCGAAAGCAUGGGGAGCGAACAGGAUUAGAUACCCUGGUAGUCCAUGCCGUAAACGUUGGGCGCUAGGUGUGGGGCUCAUUCCACGAGCUCUGUGCCGCAGCUAACGCAUUAAGC